GUAAGGUGGCUGAAUAUAGGCGGUGGUUUGUAAUUCCAUUUAUGGAGCGGUAGCUCUUCUUAUCA
rnacentral:tRNA from 1 species